UAUCUUCCGGCCUGCCACGGUUCCGCAACGGCGGAUGAAAAGGGAACGCAGGACGGGGAGACCCAGGCUGCGGCUGCCCUCGCAACUGUAGGCGGCGAGUUCGCGAUCAUGCCACUGGCCCCCGGGCCGGGAAGGGAUCAUCGAACGUCCGAGCCGCGAGCCAGGAGACCUGCCAUGGCAGACGCAACCGC
rnacentral:ncRNA from 2 species